rnacentral:lncRNA from 1 species
AAGGCUGAAUAUUAGUACCUAAUCUUGUAGAUAAUGAUUACCACUAAGCUUAUCUCAAACUUUUAGUUCUAUUUUUUUUAUUAAUCAGGUAAUUAAAAAAAAGAAAAUAAACUAGAGAUAAAUCACAAAAUAAAUAAAAUAAAUAAAACCCUACAAUCAAGCUUAGAUUGAGCUCCAAUCGACGAAAAAUUUUGGAUGAAAUGGGGUAUUUACCGUUGCUCCUCUUUGCAUAUUUUUAUG